UACGUAGGGUGCGAGCGUUAAUCGGAAUUACUGGGCGUAAAGCGUGCGCAGGCGGUUUUGUAAGCCAGAUGUGAAAUCCCCGGGCUUAACCUGGGAAUGGCAUUUGGGACUGCAAGGCUUGAGUGCGGCAGAGGAGACUGGAAUUCCUGGUGUAGCAGUGAAAUGCGUAGAUAUCAGGAGGAACACCGAUGGCGAAGGCAGGUCUCUGGGCCGACACUGACGCUCAUGCACGAAAGCGUGGGGAGCAAACAGG
rnacentral:rRNA from 1 species